rfam:Pan troglodytes isolate Yerkes chimp pedigree #C0471 (Clint) chromosome 15, whole genome shotgun sequence.
GCCAGGCGUGGUGUUGCACGCCUGUAAUCCCAGCUACUCAGGAGGCUGAGGCAUGAGAAUCACUUGAACCCAGGAAGCGGAGGUUGCAGUGAGCUGAGAUCACGCCACUGCACUCCAGCCUGGGUGACAGAGUGAGACUCUGUCUCAA